rnacentral:rRNA from 1 species
UACGAAAGGUGCACGCGUUACUCGGAAUCACUGGGCGUAAAGCGCACGUAGGCGGACUCGUAGGUCAGUUGUGAAAUACCUGGGCUCAACCCGGGAACUGCAGCUGAAACCGCUUGUCUUGAAUACCUGAGAGGGUGGGGGAAUACCUGGUGGAGAAGUGAAAUUCGUAGAGAUCAGGUGGAACACCGGAGGCGAAGGCGCCUGCCUGGCAGUGUAUUGACGCUGAGGUGCGAAAGUGCGGGGAGCAAACAGG